rnacentral:rRNA from 1 species
UACGGAGGGUGCAAGCGUUAUCCGGAUUUACUGGGUUUAAAGGGUGCGUAGGUGGGUCUGUAAGUCAGUGGUGAAAUCUCCGAGCUUAACUCGGAAACUGCCAUUGAUACUAUAGGUCUUGAAUUAUCUGGAGGUAAGCGGAAUAUGUCAUGGUAGCGGUGAAAUGCUUAGAUAUGACAUAGAACACCAAUUGCGAAGGCAGCUUACUACGGAUUGAUUGACACUGAGGCACGAAAAGCGUGGGGGAUCAAACAGG